rnacentral:lncRNA from 1 species
UUCCAACUGAAUUUGAUUGAUAAAACUGAGAAACAUACAUGGGUGAAAUCCAAAGCCGGCUGAAACAACUUACAAUCCCCGGAAACUUAGCCCACAAGAGGGAAUCAAGAGCCCAAACAACAGGCAGCACAUAAACAACUACAAUGAUCAUUAGACAAGGCUACGGUUCUACAUCUAAACCCAUAAACAAUCUCAAGAAAGGGAAAGAAGAGAGUUGUCUAAUCAUUGAACAGCCGGAACUCUUGCCAAGAACCACACAAGCACAAGAGAUAGUAAGCGAUGCAGAGACCAACGAAACAUACCUGAACCUCCAGUUCAGGGUACAAAGCCAGAAACACUGAGCUAAACAUAAGACAUCAAAUCGAGAAGAAACAAACACUCGAGACUAAGACCCCCUCCUCAACCGAACCUUCAUCGGAAAGCUUAAAACUUCAAUCUCUUUAUAUUGCUUCACCGAACAGAAGCCACCGAGGAAUGAGAGAGACAUAACACCAUCCGGUGACACACUUAUUAAAAGGACGGGAGAAGGACUCCUACCAGCUGAGACGGAGAGGUGACAACAGUCUGAAACUUCUGAAAGAUGAUAGGCCUGUUCUGCUCACCACACAGCACCAAUACACCACCGCUUACACCGUUACUGAUUCAAGACAGAGGACAAAAACUCAAACCCACCCAAGAUGCCUUAGAUUCAAUCUCUAGUGAGAAACAGAGUUGAGGACACAGAUCUGAGGUAAAUCGAAACCGGUUUCAUCCAACGAAAUUCAUCGGCGCCAGAGACACGACCUCAACUACACAACCAAAGACAAACCUCGAAACCUCCUAGCUCCUCAAACAAGAUGAACCUGAGGGGAAGAGAUGCCAUCAGAGAGUAAGCUAAGUACCACCAAUAACUACAGCCAUACUAUGAACGAAGACGAGAGCAUCUCCGGUGCCGGCGAGGAGCGCCAAACACCGGAGAUCCCCGAUUCUGGAUCUGAGAGGAAGCUUGGUGGCGUGCUUCUUUGAGAGAGAUAUUAGGGCAGCCGAGAAUUUUGACGAACAAGUCAUAUUCUUAU